AGUGAACGCUGGCGGUAGGCCUAACACAUGCAGGUCGAACGGCAGCACAGUAAUAGCUUGCUCUUACGGGUGGCGAGUGGCGGACGGGUGAGGAAUACAUCGGAAUCGACUUUUUCGUGGGGGAUAACGUAGGGAAACUUACGCUAAUACCGCAUACGACCUACUGGUGAAAGCAUGGGAUCUUCGGACCUUGCGCGAUUGAAUGAGCCGAUGUCGGAUUAGCUAGUUGGCGGGGUAAAGGCCCACCAAGGCGACGAUCCGUAGCUGGUCUGAGAGGAUGAUCAGCCACACUGGAACUGAGACACGGUCCAGACUCCUACGGGAGGCAGCAGUGGGGAAUAUUGGACAAUGGGCGCAAGCCUGAUCCAGCCAUACCGCGUGGGUGAAGAAGGCCUUCGGGUUGUAAAGCCCUUUUGUUGGGAAAGAAAAGCAGCAGGUUAAUACCCCGCUGUUCUGACGGUACCCAAAGAAUAAGCACCGGCUAACUUCGUG
rnacentral:rRNA from 1 species